GGUCGGCGUCGUCCGGCGGGACGGGCGGCAGCCCGGUCGGCGCGGGCUGCCGCAGCGCGUCCACCUCGGCCGGUUCGAGCCCGUCGCCGAGCC
rnacentral:tRNA from 1 species